GUAGAAUGAACACCCUCUUUAAUAAAAUCCACAAUGAUAAAGAUAAAUUAAAUUCUUGUUCUCUAUCAGGAGUAUGUGAAAUUCCUUUUCAUGAUAAACUUAUGAAUGAACAACACACAUAUAUAGAGUAUACAAUGAGAUUGCUACUUAAGAGGUUACCAGAGCACAAAUACGAUAUUGAAAUAGGCAUAAAAACAGUGGCAGAUUUCUGAAUAGGCGCAAAAGGCGCGCACCUUGGGCUUCAUAAAUCAACGGGGCCUCAAAAUUCAGCUCUCAAUAUAAAAAAAAAAUUAUCUUCACAAGUUCGAA
rnacentral:lncRNA from 1 species